CUACGGGCGGCAGCAGCGGGGGAUAUUGCACAAUGGGCGAAAGCCUGAUGCAGCAACGCCGCGUGAAGGAAGACGGAUUUCGGUCUGUAAACUUCUAUCAGCUGGGAAGAAAAUGACGGUACCAGACUAAGAAGCCCCGGCUAACUACGUGCCAGCAGCCGCGGUAAUACGUAGGGGGCAAGCGUUAUCCGGAUUUACUGGGUGUAAAGGGUACGUAGGCGGUCGCUUAAGUCAGAUGUGAAAGCCCGAAGCUCAACUUCGGGACUGCAUUUGAAACUGGGUGACUAGAGUACAGGAGAGGAAAGCGGAAUUCCUAGUGUAGCGGUGAAAUGCGUAGAUAUUAGGAAGAACACCAGUGGCGAAGGCGGCUUUCUGGACUGUAACUGACGCUGAGGUACGAAAGCGUGGGGAGCGAACAGGAUUAGAUACCCCAGUAGUC
rnacentral:rRNA from 1 species